UACGGGGGGAGCAAGCGUUGUUCGGAUUUACUGGGCGUAAAGGGCGCGUAGGCGGCCACCGCAAGUCGGUUGUGAAAUCUCCGGGCUUAACCCGGAAAGGUCAAUCGAUACUGCGGGGCUAGAGUGCAGAAGGGGCAACUGGAAUUCUCGGUGUAGCGGUGAAAUGCGUAGAUAUCGAGAGGAACACCUGCGGCGAAGGCGGGUUGCUGGGCUGACACGUGACGCUGAGGCGCGAAAGCGUGGGGAGCAAACAGG
rnacentral:rRNA from 1 species